UCCUGGUUAGCCCAGUUGGUAGAGCGCUAUACUGAAAAUGAAGAGGUCCCUGGUUCGAUACCUGGACCAGGCG
rfam:Ixodes scapularis strain Wikel colony gcontig_1108379078778, whole genome shotgun sequence.